AACGAACGCUGGCGGCAGGCUUAACACAUGCAAGUCGAGCGCCCCGCAAGGGGAGCGGCAGACGGGUGAGUAACGCGUGGGAACGUACCCUUUGCUACGGAAUAGCUCCGGGAAACUGGAGUUAAUACCGUAUGUGCCCUACGGGGGAAAGAUUUAUCGGCAAAGGAUCGGCCCGCGUUGGAUUAGCUAGUUGGUGGGGUAAUGGCCUACCAAGGCGACGAUCCAUAGCUGGUCUGAGAGGAUGAUCAGCCACAUUGGGACUGAGACACGGCCCAAACUCCUACGGGAGGCAGCAGUGGGGAAUAUUGGACAAUGGGCGCAAGCCUUAUCCAGCCAUGCCGCGUGAGUGAUGAAGGCCUUAGGGUUGUAAGGCUCUUUCACCGGAGAAGAUAAUGACGGUAUCCGGAGAAGAAGCCCCGGCUAACUUCGUGCCAGCAGCCGCCGUAACAC
rnacentral:rRNA from 1 species